rnacentral:lncRNA from 1 species
AAAAUUGUUUUAUUUUGUAAUUUUAACUUAGAGAAAUGGCUCAUGAUUAAAAGCACUGGAUGUUCUUGCAGAGGACCUGGGUGUAACUCCCAGUGUAACAGGCCUCAGACCUUAGCACAACUGACUCCAUGAUGGAAGUACUUACUGCUCAGGUCAAAACUAAAGCACAGGCCCAACCCGUCAAGGUCUAUAGUUAGGGGAAACCUCUAAAGUACUAACUUGUUUUUUAGCUCCCGUAGUUCCGUGUCUGGCUAACUGUUCUUGCUAACUGAGGUAUAUCACCUCAGGAUGUGGUUUUGUGCUUACAAACUCACCCUGAGAAAGGCUCCAGGCUAUACUGGGCUCUACACACAGAGAGACUAUAGAGUAGUCCCUGGCCCAUAAAAACUCUUCUCUGGUGGAUCCCCCACAACACCAGAAGCUCAGGGCAGCUCACAGCCUCCUGUACUGUCAGCUCCAGCGGAUUCGAUGGCCUCUCCUGCCUUCGGUGCACAUGGGACACACACAUGUUAUACAGACACACAUGCAGGCAUAUAAAUCAUAUAUAAUAUUUUUAAAUGUUAAUGAGAAGAAACUGCAUACUGGUUUCACAGGGCCUGAAUUUGGUUCCCAGUCCUUGCACUGGAGAAUCAAAGCCACCCACAGGUCUGGCUUUAAGGGCUCACUGCUGCCUCUGCUUGCAUAAAAUUUAAAAAUAAAACAUUUUUUUAAAAUUUUGUUUUCCCUGGGCAGUGGUGGCGCAUGCCUUUAAUCCCAGCACUCAGGGUACCAUAUCCACUGGGGAGGUAAGGGGAUAGGGUGCUCAUAUCCCCUUGCCCACAGUGGCGCCUGUGCCUUCUGGCACGGGUCACUGUAACCUCAUUGAUUGAACAUAGGCUGAUCUUCUGAUGUAGUCCUACAAAACCUCGGAUUGGGGAAAGACAGUGCCUUUCAAUAGUAUUACUUCGUUGAAGUAGAUCAUCCGACCAUGUGAUGGGCACAGGCCAUCUCCAUCCCAAACCUGGGACACUCAUGUCUCUUGUACAUUUCUCCUUAACCUGUCUGACACUAAAAGAAGUGCUCUGCCCUCUGGCUCUAGCUACUCAUCUCAAGGCCAGAGAAGCCAGGCAGGGAGGAAGCUGGGGACCAGCCCAGUGGCUUCGCCAGCACUCAGUGGCACUUUGCUUCCUUUGCCCACAUCGCCCUCUAUGAAUGAGAAGUGGCAUUGCAAGGGACACCUCUGAGCUGCCUCAGCCCACACAGGUAAGAGGAGACAAGCUGCAGAGGUGCCUUCAACAGCUGCUCCGGCAGGGUACACAAGGCAAACUUGUCACUUUACAAUUUGGGAGGCAGAAGCAGGAGGAUCGGAUUGGCAUGAACUGGAAGUCAGUGAGGUUUGUUUCAAACCACCUGGAAAGGCUACCAGAUUUCUCUAAACAAAGUUGCUCUAACAUUGGGAUCUACAACCAUAAAACAAACAUGGAGAUUCAGACGGCUGUCAAAACUGUAUGCUUUUCACUUAAAACAGAGGGGCUGAAGGACUGGUGUGAACGCCCAACCUAAACUCCCAGUGAGGGGCCUGGGGGGCGUGGUCAGGAGUAAAAGGCAGAGAGGUGUCCUCUGACCUUCACCUGCACAGUGGCAACACAACAUACAUAAUGCACAUUCAUGCAACAACAGGAAAACCCCAUCUCAAAAGGAAAGUUGUCAGCUAUACAUCGAGUCUGCUCUCUAUGUCAUUUCAAGUUAUCUUGUAGUACCUGGGCCCUUCGUGGUCGAACAGGCUGUUAUCAAAGUUUGUCACCAGGCCAUCGUUCAGGGAGGGAGUUGGGCAGAAACAACAAGGAGCAGCCCGCAGUAUGGAGAGGACCACUUUAUUCUUAGGUUGGCACGGAGGUGGGAGUGAGUGAGGCAGGUGGACCCCACCCUGGGCUGCUGGGAUUUGGACUUGGCCAAGUCUUACAGGUGAGGGAUACAUUCAGUCAAGCCUUGAGGGCUGGUCCCCGACUCUUCCAGAGCUGGGUGUUGGGCGCAGUGACUGGGAAGGACGCGGGGUGUCUCUCAGCCCUGGGCUCAGGCAUCCAUGCUUUGUUAACUGUACACAUUUAGUUAGUAACCAGAAUUCCUCAGGGUCUUCACAGUGCAGGGGCCUCAGGCCAUGAGGCUCAAAAGCUGGGGCUGGGGACAGUCACAUUCUGCUACACCCUCCAUGGCAUGGCAGACAGGGGCUUGCUGGAGUUUGGUCCUGUGGCCCACAGGGGCCACACAACACACGAAGUUUUGCUACACACUAGGCUGCCACUGAAGAAAGAGAGGUUCCUGUCACCACCUUCCAGGAACUGCAGAUCCCAGGGUGGGAGCCACAAGUUAAUUCAUUACUGGAUCCCAGGUUGGACCGGACUCUGUUCCCAGGAGUGUGGCAACUAGAAACCGGUUAACAGCAAUCUCAAAAUCUCCAGAUUUGCUGGCUGAAGCUUGGGAGGCAGAGGCAGGUGGAUCUGUGAGUUCGAGGCCAGCCUGGUCUACAGAAUAAGUUGCAGGACAGCCAGGGCUACACAGUAAGAGCCUGUUUCAAAACAAAAACAAAGACAAACAAAACCAAAAAUAUUUCUGAAUGGACUGGGCUUGGUGUCUUACAUCUUUAACAAAGCACUUGGGAUGCAGAGGCAGGAGGAUUUCUGGGAGUUCCAGGCCAGUUUCAAAACCAAACCAACAAUGUAAAAAAAGAAAGGAAAUGGAACCAGCUGUCCUCACAACAGAGCCGGUCUGUGUGGGCAUUUGUGUGGCUGCCACUGGGGUUAACCAUGGCCGCCUGAUGCUCCCUGUCCCCUGUGCACCCUGUCUGGCUCUCCCAGGCUCCUCCAUUGAUGUGGGGGUCACACGUGUGCACUCGCGCUCAUGUGGCAAACACCUCCCCACUGUGCAGACCCUUACCGGUUUUGUUUCUUUAAGACAGGGUCUCUCUGUGUAGCCCUGGCUGCCCUGGACUUGCUCUGUAGACCAGGCUGGCCUCAAACUGACAGAUCAGCCUGCCUCUGCCUCCCGACUAGGAUUAAAGGCCUGUGUCACCCUGCCUGGCUCCUUUACAUUUUUUAAGACAAUCUUGUUAUGAGACCCUGGCUGGCCUGACCCUUACUGUGGAGGUCAGGGUGGCCUCAAGUUUAUAGCAAUCCCCCUUGCAGCUGCCUGCAGAGUCCUGGGACACAGGCAUGCAGUGCACCCUUCCUGACCUACAGAGACUCCCAGAAUACCCAAUACUGGGAGUCCUGCCCUGGGGUGCUUGGGGGGGGGGCGUGGCAUGGCACAUCAGUACAUCUUUGGAGGUAUGCUGGCUGCCUAUGUGGUCACCCACACACAAUGUGGCUGUAAACAGAAGAGACCUGGUGGCACCUUCCCUUCCAGGUUGGCAAGUAAGGGACAAAGCUGUCAAGGCAGAGUCAUGGAGAAGGGACAAGGGGUGGUUGGCAGUGGCUCCAGAUCCUGCCUCCUGACGGAGGCCGUGGCAAGCACAGUGUAACCCCAGUGGCGAAAUCACAGUGUCCAGAAUUCAGGUUCAGCCCCUGGAUGCCUGCAAGGGCACAGGCUAGAGCCAGGGCCCGCAGUCACCACGAGAGGGGGCGGAAGCUGUGGUCUUGCUGCUCCUCAGACAGCGGCGUGAUCGAGCGUGCCAUGCUCCUGAGACACGGGCUGCACACAGCUGCCUCCCCAAGUCUCAGCGGAUGGGAGGGGCCCUCAGUGACACAUCCGUGAUGUCAUCUCCUUCUG